rnacentral:rRNA from 1 species
CACGUAGGGGGCAAGCGUUGUCCGGAUUUAUUGGGCGUAAAGAGCGUGUAGGCGGCCAGGUAGGUCCGUUGUGAAAACUGGAGGCUUAACCUCCAGCUGUCGAUGGAAACCAUCUGGCUAGAGUCCGGAAGAGGAGAGUGGAAUUCCGUGGUGUAGCGGUGAAAUGCGCAGAUAUCAGGAAGAACACCCGUGGCGAAGGCGGCUCUCUGGGACGGUACUGACGCUGAGACGCGAAAGCGUGGGGAGCGAAACAGG